AAGUUUUUGGUGAGCCAACCCUCACACACCUUCCUAAAAACUAAAAGAGCUAUUACUGAGUCUCAGUGAAUCUUGCCAUGAUCAGCUCUUCCCAGAAGAGAAGGAAGACCAAGGAAAUGAUUUGCUCAGGAUGAGGAAUGAAGACGGCCAUCUUGUGCUCAAACAAACAGAAGUCCACUGAUGAUCUCAUCAGCCAAAUGAGGGGUUUUGAUCAAGUGAUGCUCUUGAAAGGAGUGAAAGAAGAGGAUGUGGUAAAUUGUCU